rnacentral:tRNA from 1 species
GCAGUAGUAGUACAGUGGCAGUAUGAAAGCUUCCCAAGCUUUUGACCCGGGUUCGAGUCCCGGCUACUGCA